rnacentral:rRNA from 1 species
UCGGAGAGUUUGAUCCUGGCUCAGGACGAACGCUGGCGGCGUGCCUAAUACAUGCAAGUCGAGCGGACAGAAGGGAGCUUGCUCCCGGAUGUUAGCGGCGGACGGGUGAGUAACACGUGGGUAACCUGCCUGUAAGACUGGGAUAACU